ACCAGGCUAGUACAACUGAUGCAACGGAGAGAACCACAACAACGGAAACGGAUUCGUCCACCAUGAACCAGGCUAGUACAACUGAUGCAACGGAGAGAACCACAACAACGGAAACAGAUUCGUCCACCAUAAACCAGGCUAGUACAACUGAUGCAACGGAGAGAACCACAACAACGGAAACAGAUUCGUCCACCAUGAACCAGGCUAGUACAACUGAUGCAACGGAGAGAAUC